rnacentral:rRNA from 1 species
AUGCCGUUGCCGCGGAGCAAGGCUAGGAGGAAGGGCUUCCGGUCGCAGCUGGAGCAGGAGGUGCUGCGGCUGCAGGAGGUGCUGCGGGAGGAGACGGCGCUGCACGCCAUCCUCGACAACGCGCUCGACCACGCCGCCGUCACCCUCGCCGACAUGUCCUACCUCCCCACCCACGCCCAGGAGCUGCUCUCCAACAUCUCCGCCAUGGAGGCCGCCGUCUCCACGCUGGAGGAGGAGAUGGUCGCCCUGCACUUCCAGCUCAUCCAGGAGCGCAACGAGCGGCGCCUCGUCGAGUACCGCGCCAACGCCAAGCAGCGGCCGCUCCCCCUCUGCUCCCACCGCUCCGCCGCCAAACCCGAGCCCGAAUCCGACGACACGGCGAGCGACACCAGCAACUCCACCAGAGGGGAGAAGCCCCACCCCAGCGCCGCGGCCCCGAAGCUGCACAGGCAGUUCUCCGUCAAGGCCCUCGGCGGCGGCGCCAACCCGAACCACCUGUCGGAGGACAUCGUGCGGUGCAUGCGGAACAUCUUCAUCUCGCUCUCCGACUCCUGCCGGGAGGCCUCCCGGACCACCCCCUCCUCCGCCGCCGGGGAGAGCCAGCGUGCCGGCCCGUCGCCCAGUGGGAUCGCCGCCUUCUGGUCGCUGUCCGAGCCGUCCUCCAUCUCCUCCUGGGUGCAGAGCCCCCAGGUCGACCUCAACCAGAACAACAACCUGCUGGCAUCCGAGACCGUCUUCGACCCGUACAAGGCCCGGGAGAAGCUCAGCUGGGCCGACAUCGGCGGCUACGGCGCCGCGUCGGAGGUCUCGUGGAUGUCCGCCGGGAAGAAGCAGCUCGAGUACGCCGCAGAGUCGCUACGGAAGUUCAGGUUGCUGAUUGAGCAGCUGGCAGAAGUAAACCCUGUUCAUCUCGGCGACGAUGCGAGAUUGGCGUUCUGGAUCAAUCUGUACAACGCAUUGCUGAUGCAUGCUUAUCUUGCUUAUGGUGUUCCACGAAGUGACAUGAAACUGUUUUCACUAAUGCAAAAGGCUGCAUAUACAAUUGGAGGGAAUUCAUUCAGUGCAGCAUUCAUCGAAUAUGUUAUUUUGAAGAUGAAGCCGCCGAAUCACAGACCACAGAUGGCUCUGCUUCUUGCCCUUCAGAAGAUAAAGUCACCUGAGGACCAGAGAAAGUUCUGCAUUUCAACAGCGGAACCACUUCUGACAUUUGCCCUCAGCUGUGGAAUGUAUUCUUCGCCUGCAGUGAAGAUAUACACAGCCAGCAACGUAAGGGAAGAGCUUCAGGACGCGCAGCGCGAUUUCAUCAGAGCAUCGGUAGGAGUGAGCCGAAAGGGGAAGCUUCUGAUCCCCAAAAUGCUGCACUGUUUUGCGCGAGGAUUCGUCGACGACAACAGCUUCCCUAUCUGGAUAUCGCAUUUCCUGCCUCAGCAGCAGGCUACAUUCGUCGAGCACUGCGUGUCUCAGAGGCGGCAAAGCCUCCUGGGCACCCGGACUUUCGGCAUCAUCCCGUUCGACUCUCGGUUUCGAUACCUCUUCCUGCCUGAUAUGGGAUCAUCGAACUGA